UACGUAGGGUGCAAGCGUUAAUCGGAAUUACUGGGCGUAAAGCGUACGCAGGCGGCUUUGCAAGACAGGUGUGAAAUCCCCGGGCCUAACCUGGGAACUGCAUUUGUGACUGCAUGGCUAGAGUUUGUCAGAAGGGGGUGGAAUUCCACGUGUAGCAGUGAAAUGCGUAGAUAUGUGGAGGAACACCGAUGGCGAAGGCAGCCCCCUGGGAUGUGACUGACGCUCAUGUACGAAAGCGUGGGGAGCAAACAGG
rnacentral:rRNA from 1 species